rnacentral:rRNA from 1 species
UACGGGGGGGGGGCAAGCGUUGUUCGGAAUUACUGGGCGUAAAGCGUGCGUAGACGGCCUGUUAAGUCGGGUGUGAAAGCCCCGGGCUCAACCUGGGAAUUGCAUUCGAGACUGAAUAGCUAGGGUACGGUAGAGGGAAGCGGAAUUUCCGGUGUAGCGGUGAAAUGACGUAGAUAUCGGAAGGAACAUCAGUGGCGAAAGCGGCUUCCUGGACCCAGUACCGACGUUCAGGCACGAAAGCGUGGGGAGCAAACAGG